rnacentral:rRNA from 1 species
CACGUAAGGGGCAAGCGUUGUUCGGAUUUAUUGGGCGUAAAGGGCGUGUAGGCGGUUGUCCAAGCCUGGUGUGAAAGGCUCUGGCUUAACCAGAGUUAGGCGCUGGGAACUGGGCGACUAGAGUUCAGGAGGGGAAGCUGGAAUUCCUGGUGUAGGGGUGAAAUCUGUAGAUAUCAGGAAGAACACCGGUGGCGAAGGCGAGCUUCUGGCCAUGGACUGACGCUGAGGCGCGAAAGCGUGGGGAGCAAACAGG